AACCAGCACCUCAAGUGGUCAGGAUGAUUAUUGGGCCUAAAGCAUCCGUAGCCUGUUUUGCAAGUCUUCGGUUAAAUCCAACAACUCAAGUGUUGGGCUGCCGAAGAUACUACAAGACUAGGGAAUGGGAGAGGUAGACGGUACUCGAUAGGAAGGGGUAAAAUCCUUUGAUCUAUUGAUGACCACCUGUGGCGAAGGCGGUCUACCAGAACAUGUUCGACGCUGAAGCACGAAAGCGUGGGGAGCAAACAGG
rnacentral:rRNA from 1 species